AUUGAACGCUGGCGGCAGGCCUAACACAUGCAAGUCGAGCGGAGCGGCGGACGGGUGAGUGAGGACUAUGUAUCAGCCUGGUUGUGGGGGGUGACGACCGGAAAGAGGCGCUAAUAACGCACACUAGCAGAUGAGUCUAGCCCGGAUGAGCUAGUUGGUGGGGUAAAGGCCUACCAAGGCGACGAUCCGUACCUGGUCGGAGAGGAUGAGCAGUCAGACUGGAACGGAGACACGGUCCAGACUCCUACGGGAGGCAGCAGUGGGGAAUAUUGCACAAUGGGCGAAAGCCGGAUCCAGCCAUGCCGCGUGUGUGAAGAAGGUCUUCGGGUUGUAAAGCACUUUCAGUUGGGAGGCGUUACCCACAGAAUAAGCACCGGCUAACUUCGUGCCAGCAGCCGCGGUAAUUC
rnacentral:rRNA from 1 species